rnacentral:lncRNA from 1 species
UGGGAUUACAGGCGUAAGCCACUGUACCCAGUUGCAAAUAUUUUUAGUAUUGAGAAAAUUUAGCAACUAUUUCUUUCUUUUCUUUUCUCUUUCUUUCUUUCUUUCUUUCUUUCUUUCUUCUUUCUUUCUUUCUUUCUUUCUUCUUUCUUUUUUUUUUCAGAAGAUGUUUUGCUCUUGUUGCCCAGGCAGGAAUGCAAUGGCAACACCUUGGCUCACUGCAACCUCUGUUUCCAGAGUUCAAGUGAUUCUCCUGCCUCAGCCUCCUAAGUAGCCAGGAUUACAGCUUCCACCACGUCUGGCUAAUUUUUUGUAAUUUUUAGCAGAGAUGGGCACUGAAACCAGCUCAGUCAUGGAGACCGCAACCCAGCAGCACUAGACGAAUAAAAACACAGGCACAGAAAUAGAGUGCAAAGUGGGAACAGGGGGCUAACAGCCUUCAGACCUGACAGUCUUGAACAGAAUUUGACCCACCUAUUUAUUGACAGUAAGCCUGUGAUAAACAUCAUUUCUGCAGUUUAUAGAUUAACUGAAAGUAUUCUUCACAGAGAACAAAGGGACAGGCUCUGGCUUGUUAUCUGCAGCAGGGACAUGUCCUUAAGGCACAGAUCACUCAUGCAAUUGUUUGUGGUUUAGGAAUGCCUUGAGUAGUUUUCCACCCUGGGUGGGCCAGAUGUUCCUUGCCCUCAUUCUGGUAAACCAGCAACCUCCAGCGUGAGCAUCAUAGCCAUCAUGAGCAUAUCACAGUGCUGCAGAAAUCUGUUUAUGGCCAGUCUUGGGGCCUGUUCCCAGCAUGUCCCCCUUUUUGUUUUUUCAGGGCAAUAAAUACAAAGACGGCUUUAUCAAGGUUUUCUUCCACCAUCUGCGACAGCUUCUUGAUCUGUCCCCAGGUAGGUGGCUGUGUUAGACGGGGAUUGCUCGUGACAGUUGGGGUCCUCCUCAGCAUCAACUUGGACAACGCUGCCACCAGUUGGUCUUUUGGAUCCUCCCAAAACUUUUUCCUUGAUAUCUGGCUCAUAGUAGGGCUUUAGAUGUCUUGAUGGAACCCAAAUUGGCUAUUGAUUUGGUCCUGGAGAAACACAAGCAUAACCUCUGCCUCAUGUUAUUAUUUUACCUGUUUCACAAACUUUUGUUAUUGGGCCUUUCUAGCAAACCCAUUUUUCCACUUCUGCUUUUGUAGCUGGCUUCUGUAAAUGUUGUUCAGCUGCUAAUAACAAUCAGCCUUUAGGCAGGCUCAAAAAAUUUAAAGUUAAUAAUGCUAGAUUUAGUUGCAUGUAUGGAGUCCUAUAGUUUCUGUCUCCUCCUUUCUGUUUUUGCAACUGCUGUUUCAGGGAGAGAUUCAUUCUUUCC